CGCUUGAGAUGGAAAAUUAUCACCAGAAACUAAGCAGGCACGUGGCGUUGCUAACGAAAUUGACAUGAAAUUGACAACGUCGUCAUAGGUAAAAUAGCGAUAAAUAGAUUAUCAUUGGUCAUCUCAACUCGAUUGCCUUUCUCGCUUUCGCCGUCCCGGCUCAAGCGAGAAAAUCAAUCUCGUUGAGAUGAUCAACGAUAAUCUAUAAGUAU
rnacentral:lncRNA from 1 species